rnacentral:rRNA from 1 species
AUUGUGCAAAGGUAGCAUAAUAAUUAGUUUUUUAAUUGAGAACUGGUAUGAAUGGUUGGACGAGAAAAAAACUGUCUCAAUUUAAAUUUUAUUAGAAUUUUAUUUUUAAGUUAAAAAGCUUAAAUGAUUUUAAAAGACGAGAAGACCCUAUAGAGUUUUAUAUAAUUUAAAAUGUAAAUAAUUGAAGUAUUUUAUCUAUUUAUUUUUUAAAUUGUAUUUAAUUGGGGUGAUUGAAAAAUUUAAUAAACUUUUUUUUAAUAAAAAUAACAUUAAUUUAUGAAUAAUUGAUCCAUAUUUAUAUUAUGAUUAUAAGAUUAAAUUACCUUAGGGAUAACAGCGUAAUUUUUUUUAAGAGUUCUUAUCGAAAGAAAAGAUU